CGUUGGCUCCGCGUUGUUGCACGGGCCGCUGACGUUCAAUCCCGGUUUGCCAAUACGGCCGCUGACGUUCAAACUGACCAAUCACAAUGCCCCGCCUCAGGGCCGGGCUAGUGUUAAAAACUGCUGAGGUGGGGCAGAUUUUGCUACCAGUAGGGUUCACUGACGCGUAAGGUGCCCUGUCACAAUUUGCCACCUCCCCUUUUCUCAUUGGUUCUGGGGUAGCAAGUUCUGACCGGACAUCAAGCGGUGAGAGGUAGCAAACCAUGAUGACAGUUGUUGCCCUUUACAAUUUGCUACCAUUUUGAAAUCUCCAUUGUAAAUGUGGACACCAGGAGAGGAGCUGAACCUGCUGGCUACUUCCAGGAAGCAGUGCGGAGCCAGGACAGGCAGGGAGCCUGCCUUAUCCCCACUGGCUGCUGAGCGGAAGCUGCCCGAGAGUGGGUGGUAACGAGAGGGACAACAAGUCCUUCACAGCUUGGAAAGCCUGUGGAGUCAAGAGGCGUGAGGGAUCAUGACUGCUCCCAGGAGUCGGAGCUGUGAAACCUGGACACCAUACAAAUAGCAUAUCAAACAGCUAGAGGCCUUCCAUAUAUGGUCGCUGCGUGCCAUUAUAGGGAUCUGCUGGCAAGACAAAAUUACCAACCUGGAGGUUCUCCAAAAGUCAAAUGCCACAAGCACCGAGGCCAUGUUGAUAAAAGCCCAACUACGCUGGGCUGGACACAUCAUUAGGAUGCCUGAACAUUGACUCCGCAGAAAAAAAUUUCUAUGGAGAAUUGGCACAAGAACACUGGAAUCAAGGCCACCCCAGAAAGCACUAUAAGGAUAGCAUCAAGAACAGUAUACACUUCAGUGCAAUAAAACCGCAUGAUCUUGAGAAGUGUGUGUUAAAUAGAUCAGCACGGCGACACACAAUAUUCAGAGCUUUCCAAGCCUUUGAAGAGGAUGAAAUAAUCGACUGUUAGCUGAAAGGGAAAAGUGUUAUACCACUACUAUAGCUACCAAGACCCUCACCAAUGACUUUGUCUGCCCGAUCUGCUUACGAGUAUGUGCAUCACGCUUUGGAUUUAGGAGUCACUCUAGAAUCCACAAAAAAAGAUAGCAUGAAAACUUCGUUGUCAAACUGACAGACUACGUGAAGAAGACGACCAAACCACUAUAGAAGGAAAGCCUUGCAGAAGCAAAAAGCCAUUCAAGUAACUGUCACAGGCAGUAAGUAGGAACUGAGUAGGUGUGGGGCCAGCGGUGCCCUAUAUUCUGGUACAGAGGAACGGGGUUCUACGGGGUGCUAGGGCCGGCCCUAUGGAUACCAUUAAGGGAAAAAAUCUCCGGCAACGGUGCAUGUGACGCGUGCACACCUAGCAUGGAAUCGACACUAGCAAGCACUUGAAGAACUAAUGUGGCCUUCAAGAUGUAAGGAUUGUAUCUCAGGUAUAUAAAUCAAAAUACUUCUGAUUACUUCUGGCAGCAAUAAGUACAGCAAAAUGCUGCAAUUAAAGGUUUAUAUUCACA